UACGUAGGGUGCAAGCGUUGUCCGGAAUUAUUGGGCGUAAAGAGCUCGUAGGCGGUUUGUCGCGUCUGCUGUGAAAACUCGGGGCUUAACCUCGAGACGUCGGCGGAAACCAUCUGGCUAGAGUCCGGAAGAGGAGAGUGGAAUUCCUGGUGUAGCGGUGAAAUGCGCAGAUAUCAGGAAGAACACCCGUGGCGAAGGCGGCUCUCUGGGACGGUACUGACGCUGAGACGCGAAAGCGUGGGGAGCGAACAGG
rnacentral:rRNA from 1 species